rnacentral:tRNA from 1 species
CUGAAAAUAGUUUAUAAAAAUAUUAGUUUUGGAGACUAAAGCAGUAGGUAUCUACUUUUCAGA